UACGAAGGGGGCUAGCGUUGCUCGGAAUGACUGGGCGUAAAGGGCGCGUAGGCGGCGAUCACAGUCAGAUGUGAAAUUCCUGGGCUUAACCUGGGGGCUGCAUUUGAUACGUGGUUGCUUGAGUGGGGAAGAGGGUCGUGGAAUUCCCAGUGUAGAGGUGAAAUUCGUAGAUAUUGGGGAAGAAACACCGGGUGGCGAAGGCGGCGACCUGGUCCUUGACUGACGGCUGAGGCGCGAAAGCGUGGGGAGCAAACAGG
rnacentral:rRNA from 1 species